GCAACUCGCCUACAUGAAGCUGGAAUUGCUAGUAAUCAUAGGUCAGCAUACUAUGGUGAAUACGUUCCCGGGCCUUGUACACACCGCCCGUCACACCAUGAGAGUUGAGAAUACCCGAAGUCCAUGUUAAAGUGGCCGAAGGUAGGCUUGAUGAUUGGGGUGAAGUCGUAACAAGGUAUC
rnacentral:rRNA from 1 species